CACGGACGUCUGGUGUCGGAGUAUUAUCGCUGUCACAAGUGCCUGUUCCAUCGCCUGCCCGCCUACCUAGGAUUUUCUGUUGGCUAUUCUGGAUCCGCGACGGAGUGCUACAUACCAUCAGGCGGCGAUCACCGCAGUGGUUUUGGUUUAGGUGGUCAAGUAACUCCGGUGUGUCUGCUACCUACCUGUAUGCUUCGGCUCCGUCUCAUCGCCUCGGUGUUUUUCUCCUGGCACGUUUUAUUUUAUCACUGUAUAUAGCCCUUUCCCUUGUAAAUAUUCCCCCUUACUUGUGGAUAUAAAAGACUUGCAUC
ensembl:lncRNA